rnacentral:rRNA from 1 species
CGACGGAAGGCCUCUUCGGAGGUACUCGAGUGGCGAACGGGUGAGUAACACGUGGGUAAUCUGCCCUGCACUUCGGGAUAAGCCUGGGAAACUGGGUCUAAUACCGGAUAGGACCUUUUGGCGCAUGCCUUUUGGUGGAAAGCUUUUGCGGUGUGGGAUGGGCCCGCGGCCUAUCAGCUUGUUGGUGGGGUGACGGCCUACCAAGGCGACGACGGGUAGCCGGCCUGAGAGGGUGUCCGGCCACACUGGGACUGAGAUACGGCCCAGACUCCUACGGGAGGCAGCAGUGGGGAAUAUUGCACAAUGGGCGCAAGCCUGAUGCAGCGACGCCGCGUGGGGGAUGACGGCCUUCGGGUUGUAAACCUCUUUCAGCAGGGACGAAGCGCAAGUGACGGUACCUGCAGAAGAAGCACCGGCCAACUACGUGCCAGCAGCCGCGGUAAUACGUAGGGUGCGAGCGUUGUCCGGAAUUACUGGGCGUAAAGAGCUCGUAGGUGGUUUGUCGCGUUGUUCGUGAAAACCGGGGGCUUAACCCUCGGCGUGCGGGCGAUACGGGCAGACUGGAGUACUGCAGGGGAGACUGGAAUUCCUGGUGUAGCGGUGGAAUGCGCAGAUAUCAGGAGGAACACCGGUGGCGAAGGCGGGUCUCUGGGCAGUAACUGACGCUGAGGAGCGAAAGCGUGGGGAGCGAACAGGAUUAGAUACCCUGGUAGUCCACGCCGUAAACGGUG